AACGAACGCUGGCGGCAUGCCUAACACAUGCAAGUCGAACGAGACCUUCGGGUCUAGUGGCGCACGGGUGCGUAACGCGUGGGAACCUGCCCUUAGGUUCGGAAUAACUCCCCGAAAGGGGUGCUAAUACCGGAUAAUGUCUUCGGACCAAAGAUUUAUCGCCUUUGGAUGGGCCCGCGUUGGAUUAGCUAGUUGGUAGGGUAAAAGCCUACCAAGGCGACGAUCCAUAGCUGGUCUGAGAGGAUGAUCAGCCACACUGGGACUGAGACACGGCCCAGACUCGUACGGGAGGCAGCAGUGGGGAAUAUUGGACACUGGGCGAAAGCGUGAUCCAGCAAUGCCGCGUGAGUGAUGAAGGCCUUAGGGUUGUAAAGCUCUUUUACCCGGGAUGAUAAUGACAGUACCGGGAGAAUAAGCUCCGGCUAACUCCGUG
rnacentral:rRNA from 1 species